rnacentral:misc_RNA from 1 species
GCAAAUGCUCUUCUAUCCUUUCAUUUACUCAAAAUUUUCCCCCUUCCAGAGAAAAAUAGUACACUAGAAUGAACAGCGCAUAAAAUUCAUAAUUGCAGCAUAGAAAACAAGUGUUCACGACAAUAAUAGCCAAAAAUCUCAUAUACUUCCUAUAUGCCUUAACAUAUGCUUUCACAUAACAUCUUUAAUGGUGAAGUUCACAAAUAAGACUACAAUUACUUGUAAUAUGAAAGCAGCAACAAUCUACUAGAUACUAUCCGCCAUGCAAGGUUGAAAUAAAGACGACCACAUCCUUCUCUUCCAGUGUGGUAUCAAGCUGGCCACUAAGCUCCCAAUCACAAUCAUUCACGAGGACCAGGACGCCAGGUCUCCUGAGAGAGAAACCAAGAAAUUGGCACAAUUAACAAAACUGAAAUGAUGAUAAAUUCAUCAGCCCUUUGUGUAAAUUUUCUUUUCUUUGUUUUAACUAAACCAAUCUCCAGAUAAUCCCCUUCUUGAACUGCAAUAGAACUUGAUUUAAAAUAGGACUAAUCUUGCAUCACUUAGAAUGAAUUUGCAUAUGCAUAAACAACAACAGGGCAAAUGCUUAAAAACAUACACAGAAUCCCCUUUCAUGAACAUUUCAGGCCUCUCCUUGAUUAAAUUUGUGCGAACCCAAGCGAGCAAGUCUUUCAUGGUUAACUGGGCAAUGUAGAAGGGAUCAUAAAGAAUAAUGUCAAUAACAAGUAGUGUACCACUAUUAUAAAUUUUGGUCAUUGAAAUAAAGUUUACCUUCUCUACUCCAUUUUUCAGUUGGACAUUGACAUUAUGAAUCUUCAUUGAAUUACAAAGGAGCUCUAGCCCUCCACUGCAUCACAAAGAUAAUCCGAUGAAGAUUUGGUAAUCGAGCGUAAAGCGAGAGAAAGAAGAUCAGUUAUGUACUUAAAUAAAAUCAAACAUAAUAACAAGUUAAAUGCUCGAAUAUUUCAUCAAAUUCCAAGAGACUAGAAUCUAAAAGCCCUCGGGACUUGAAAUUUCUGCUCUCCAUUGGAGCAAAAAAGUUAGUUAAAGAAAGGUAACGGGAGGGACAUGAUCCUGAAUGGGAUCCCUAAAUUUUCAUUUCACAAAGCAUAACAAUUCAUGAGAAAACCCCAAGCGCAUAGAAUUACACUAGUUCAAGCCUCCUAACGGACCAGAAAUUCAACAUGCCGUUUCAAUUUGAUGAAAAAGAAGCAAUAUUUGAAAAGAUUAGAAGUCAGAUUCCGCGUGGGGAAAAAAUAGAAAGAAAGGUCUUACCCGAAUUCCAGAGUGAGUUGCAUGUUCAAUAUUUCUGCAGAAACUGAAAACCCUAGACUGAUGGAGGAGAGGAAACUUUUCCGAAAUUGUCAGGUUGAUAGAUUCUGACAUCUGUCACGUAAAAACGACGCCGUCUUUAAGUAUUUCUUCUUUAAAAAUAUCUAGU